rnacentral:rRNA from 1 species
AUUGAACGCUGGCGGCAGGCUUAACACAUGCAAGUCGAGCGGAGCGAGGGUGCUUGCACCUUAGCUUAGCGGCGGACGGGUGAGUAAUGCUUAGGAAUCUGCCUAUUAGUGGGGGUCAACAUUCCGAAAGGAAUGCCAAUACCGCAUACGCCCUACGGGGGAAAGCAGGGGAUCUGCGGACCUUGCGCUAAUAGAGGAGCCUAAGUCGGAUUAGCUAGUUGGUGGGGUAAAGGCCUACCAAGGCGACGAUCUGUAGCGGGUCUGAGAGGAUGAUCCGCCACACUGGGACUGAGACACGGCCCAGACUCCUACGGGAGGCAGCAGUGGGGAAUAUUGGACAAUGGGCGGAAGCCUGAUCCAGCCAUGCCGCGUGUGUGAAGAAGGCCUUUUGGUUGUAAAGCACUUUAAGCGAGGAGGAGGCUACUUAGAUUAAUACUCUGGGAUAGUGGACGUUACUCGCAGAAUAAGCACCGGCUAACUCUGUGCCAGCCGCCGCGGUAA